UUUGUACUCUAUGUACAUGCUUGUGUAGGUUUUGAAUGUCAUAAGUGAGUAUACACUGCAUAUACUUCAGUCUCUAACUAUUCCCGCACACACUCAAAAGUCUCUCUCCUCACAUACAGUAUGUGUUCAGAACAGUAUGUGAACAGUAUGAUUCAUAAAAUAGAAUGAUUACAAAUGAUUAUGAAUGUAUAUAAAAAUUAUAAAACCGAUAUAAAACUACUGAUUAUGAAUAUUAUUAAAAAGUAAUAAUGCUAAAAACAAUAUUAAAUGAUGAAAUUUUGAGUCUUCACAAACAAACAAUUAUCUUACAAUUGUUUUCCUUGACAUUAUUUUUUGUCCUUUACUGUGUCAUGUUCAUUAAACUCAAAUAUCUAGACUAGCCUGCUGCCGACGGCAGAGUGAAUGAACCACGUUCAUGGAUUAGAGAGUUGAGGUUGUUCUUGUUAUUUAAAAAAUAACUCUUUAAACCUUUGAUCGGUUCAUAAUUUGAGUAAACAACAUCCAUAAAA